AUGAGACUGUGGGGUCUUCUCCUUUGCCUGGCGACAGCGUCCCAAGGUGUCCUGUCCAAGGUACAGCUGCAGGAGUCGGGCCCAGGACUGGUGAAGCCCUCGCAGACCCUCUCCCUCACCUGCACAGUCUCUGGUGACUCCAUCACAACCAGUGGUUCUGGUUGGAACUGGAUCCGCCAGCCUUCAAGGAAGGGGCUGGAGUGGAUGGGAUACAUUGGUUAUAGUGGAAGCACAGCUUAUAACCCGUCCCUCAAGAGCCGCACCUCCAUCACCAGAGACACAUCCAAGAACCAGUUCUCCCUGCAGCUGAGCUCUGUGACCGACGAGGACACAGGCGUGUAUUACUGUGCGAGAGACACAGUGACAGGAAGUCAGCUCCACACAGAGUGA